rnacentral:rRNA from 1 species
CACGUAGUUAGCCGGUGCUUCUUCUGCUCCUACCGUCACUUUCGCUUCUUCGGAGCUGAAAGAGGUUUACAACCCGAAGGCCGUCAUCCCUCACGCGGCGUCGCUGCAUCAGGCUUUCGCCCAUUGUGCAAUAUUCCCCACUGCUGCCUCCCGUAGGAGUCUGGGCCGUGUCUCAGUCCCAGUGUGGCCGGUCGCCCUCUCAGGCCGGCUACCCGUCGUCGCCUUGGUAGGCCAUCACCCCACCAACCAGCUGAUAGGCCGCGAGCCCAUCCCCAGCCGAAAAACUUUCCACCCACACACCAUGCGAUGGCGGGUCGUAUCCGGUAUUAGCCACCGUUUCCAGUGGUUGUCCCAGAGCCAGGGGCAGGUUGCUCACGUGUUACUCACCCGUUCGCCACUGAUCACCCUCCGAAGAGGGGUCACCGUUCGACUUGCAUGUGUUAAGCACGCCGCCAGCGUUCGUCCUGAGCCAGGAUCAAACUCU